GCAUUUUUAGCCUCAAAAAUAUGCAUUGUUCCUACAGUAACAGCUAAAUGUCACAUGUCAAAUUAAGUUGUUCAAAAGAAUAGACUUUAAGCUUAUGCUUGUGUUAAUUGAUUCUAACCAUUGUAGAACACUUCUUACCUUACAUAGUUUAUAGAGGAAUGUGUUUUGAAUAUCUUGAUCAUCUGUGAAGGUUAGUUGAUGAAUACACUGUGUACCUUUUAGUUUCUUCAAAAGCCACAAUCCAGAAUUAAACAAAGAGUUUGAACUGUAAAGAUACCCUAAGUGUGGACCAGAUACCGAAACAUAUGUAUGUAGAUAUCUUAGAAAUGGUUCCAUUAUGCUCUCUGCAAACACAAGACAAUUUUUAGCUCGUAAUUUAGAAUAGAUGAAAACCAUCAAUUCUUAAGUCAUAACCCACCUGCUAGUGCUGUUCUUAUAAUGAUGUUACCGAUAGAAUGUCCAACAAAACUUAGUCUAAUAUCUCCUAAACUGCCAUAUUUUGCUGCUUUGUCCAUUUUCUUUUUAACAAAAGAAACAACUUCCUUAGCUAGCCGCCGACCCAUUUCUCUGAAGUCUCCUGAGGUUUUAUCCUCAUUGAUCUCUGACAUAAGAUAUUCUAUCCUGGGGUCUAACAGAAGCCAUUGAUUUCGAAUAAGCCGUAGAUCCAAAUGAUGCCCCUGAAACCCAUGAACAAACACAACAAUCUUCAAGACCCGAGGACUACUUUGUGUAGCAGAUAUUUCAUUUGCAGAGUCCAAGUUGAGCCCAGUUUGUACGCUAGUGAGUUCUAAAUUUCUCAAGUAUGAAUUAUCACUGAUAGUUCGACGUGGUGCAUUCAUUACACGUUCAACAAUCACAAUUGGUACGUGUAAAGGAUCUCCAAAUAUGUGCAUAUCCUGAAUUGACCGGUUAUUAAUCUGCAAAGAUGGAAUCCAUU
rnacentral:sRNA from 1 species